rnacentral:pre_miRNA from 1 species
UCUUCAUUGCGCACGCUCUCUCGCCGGUCAGGGAGGCGAGAGAUCAUGUGAAAUGAAGAGA